rnacentral:rRNA from 1 species
CCCUUAGAUGUUCUGGGCCGCACGCGUGCUACACUGAUGCAUUCAACGAGUCUAAAACCUGGUCUGAUAGGGCUGGGUAAUCUUUUGAAAGUGCAUCGUGAUUGGGAUAGAUGAUUGCAAUUCUUCAUCUUCAACGAGGAAUGCCUAGUAAACGCAAGUCAUCAGCUUGCAUUGAUUACGUCCCUGCCCUUUGUAUACACCGCCCGUCGCUCCUACCGAUUGAAUGAUCCGAUGAAUACCAUGGAUUGAGAGUACGAAUAGGUUCGCUUAUUUCUGCUUCUCGAGAAGUGGAGUAAAUCUUAUCAUUUAGAGGAAGGAGAAGUCGUAACA